AACGAACGCUGGCGGCAUGCCUAACACAUGCAGGUCGAACGAUAUCUUCGGGUCUAGUGGCGCACGGGUGCGUAACGCGUGGGAAUCUGCCCUUUGGUUCGGAAUAACAGUUGGAAACGACUGCUAAUACCGGAUGAUGACGAAAGUCCAAAGAUUUAUCGCCAGAGGAUGAGCCCGCGUAGGAUUAGCUAGUUGGUGUGGUAAAGGCGCACCAAGGCGACGAUCCUUAGCUGGUCUGAGAGGAUGAUCAGCCACACUGGGACUGAGACACGGCCCAGACUCCUACGGGAGGCAGCAGUGGGGAAUAUUGGACAAUGGGCGAAAGCCUGAUCCAGCAAUGCCGCGUGAGUGAUGAAGGCCUUAGGGUUGUAAAGCUCUUUUACCCGGGAUGAUAAUGACAGUACCGGGAGAAUAAGCUCCGGCUAACUCCGUGCCAGCCGCCGCGGUAA
rnacentral:rRNA from 1 species